rnacentral:rRNA from 1 species
UACGUAGGUGGCAAGCGUUGUCCGGAAUUAUUGGGCGUAAAGCGCGCGCAGGUGGUCCUUUAAGUCUGAUGUGAAAGCCCACGGCUCAACCGUGGAGGGUCAUUGGAAACUGGGGGACUUGAGUGCAGAAGAGGAUAGUGGAAUUCCAAGUGUAGCGGUGAAAUGCGUAGAGAUUUGGAGGAACACCAGUGGCGAAGGCGACUAUCUGUCUGUAACUGACACUGAGGCGCGAAAGCGUGGGGAAGCA